UACAGAGGGGGCAAGCGUUGUUCGGAAUUACUGGGCGUAAAGGGCGCGUAGGCGGCCUUCUAAGUCGAACGUGAAAUCCCCGGGCUCAACCCGGGAACUGCGUCCGAUACUGGAAGGCUUGAAUCCGGGAGAGGGAUGCAGAAUUCCAGGUGUAGCGGUGAAAUGCGUAGAUAUCUGGAGGAAUACCGGUGGCGAAGGCGGCAUCCUGGACCGAGAUUGACACUGAUGAGCGAAAGCUAGGGGAGCAAACGGG
rnacentral:rRNA from 1 species